rnacentral:rRNA from 1 species
GACGAACCGUGCGAACGUUGUUCGGAAUCACUGGGCUUAAAGGGCGCGUAGGCGGGCUGCCAAGUCAGGGGUGAAAGCCCACGGCUCAACCGUGGAAGUGCCUUUGAUACUGGCGGCCUUGAGGGAGGUAGGGGCGUGCGGAACUUCCGGUGGAGCGGUGAAAUGCGUAGAUAUCGGAAGGAACACCGGUGGCGAAGGCAAGGUGCUGGACCCUCUCUGACGCUGAGGCGCGAAAGCCAGGGGAGCGAACGGG